CUGUCAAUCACUCCGCCCACUUCCUGUUCCCUGCUGCGCGCAGCGCCCACCGAGGGGACUACACAUGUGUUUACCACGCCUACGUUUUCUCCUAUAACUUCUCUUCCGAGAGCCGGCCUCUCCAUGUCAUUGUCUCAGCUUCUGUGACUGAUCUGAUCAUCAGAUGUGUCGUGGUGCUGCUGCUUCUGACGGUGUCGACCCUCAUCCUCUACUUCCACUUCAAGGCCGAAGGACGCCGGAGGAGACAGAGGCCUGAGACUCGUCAGCGCCCCCGCAGGUCAACAGCUGCAUCACGCGUCAACGUAGAGUAAAAGGAUCACAGCCGCAAUGGAAGAAGCUUCAGAUGGAUUUCAUCCAGAUAUUGAAUAUGUGUCAAUGUACAGUAUCAAAUGAUACACAUAUAGAUAAUCGGCGGACUGGUCCUUCAAAUUCAUAUCAGUGGUUUUGGAAGUGGAGUUUGAGGCAAAGUUGCAGCACUUAUUGAAUAUUUACACUCAGCUUAUUGUCAGUUGUGGUUAAAUGUAUUGUUUUAAACAUAAGUUACUGCUUUUAUUUACUCAUUUAUUAAUACAUUUACGUUUGAUAUUCAUCUUUACUUUUUUAAUACUCGCUUAUACUUACUUACAUGAACGAUAUACUUUACUUAGUCGAUAUUUGAUUCAGCUUUUAGAAAGACUGUUAAAAUUAAGUUAUUGUUAUUAUUGUUGUUGUUGUGUUUGUCCCCAUCAGGACGACAAGUCUCCAUCAUGUGAGUGUGUAAACACAUGUUUCUUUGGCUUCAAAGACAAAGUUAUAUGUUGACUUAUAAAGACGAAUAAUAACUCACUGAUCAGUUUUUUUCCGAUAAAUUUAAAAUCUUAUCUAAAAAAAAAAAUGUUUUAGUCUCGUAAAUUUACAAUUUCAAUUUUAAAAAUCAACUUUCUUACCUCUGAAAAUCGCCCCCAUACCCGGCUCCAUAAUUAUAUUUUAUUUCUCUUUUUUUACAUGA